UAGGGAAUCUUCCACAAUGGACGCAAGUCUGAUGGAGCAACGCCGCGUGAGUGAAGAAGGUUUUCGGAUCGUACAGCUCUGUUGUUGGUGAAGAAGGAUAGAGGUAGUAACUGGCCUUUAUUUGACGGUAAUCAACCAGAAAGUCACGGCUAACUACGUGCCAGCAGCCGCGGUAAUACGUAGGUGUCAAGCGUUGUCCGGAUUUAUUGGGCGUAAAGCGAGCGCAGGCGGAAGAAUAAGUCUGAUGUGAAAGCCCUCGGCUUAACCGAGGAACUGCAUCGAAAACUGUUUUUCUUGAGUGCAGAAGAAGAGAGUGGAACUCCAUGUGUAGCGGUGGAAUGCGUAGAUAUAUGGAAGAGCACCAGUGGCGAAGGCGACUCUCUGGUCUGCAACUGACGCUGAGGCUCGAAAGCAUGGGUAGCGAACAGG
rnacentral:rRNA from 1 species